GGGUGCCAGUCAACACAAAUUUAGGACUCUCCUCAUUUCUCCUUCCUUUGAUGGCCUCUGAACUCCUCAUCUGAUCAGCCCUUCACCACCCAGAGGACAUGCUUCUGAGGCAGUGCUAGGACCAAGAAGCAUUUAGCACAAGCUAAAUUAUCAGCUGAAUGAUGAAGUCAAUCCAACUUUGUUUACGUCCCUGCCACAGGCCAGGCACGGAGAUGAGUGUCCUGGAGGAUACGCAGAUCGCAGAUGAGUGAGAAACAAGCCCUUUGCUCUAGAAGCCGGGGACCACAGGAAACUAAGAUAAGGAGACAGAACUUCAAUCUGAGACACUGAAAAAGAGCAUUUGAAGAAGGAGGCCAUUCUACUAGCCAUAGACAGCAUUUGUGUUGGGAGCCAGACUGAUCUGGGACCUCCUAAAUCCUGUCUGUGGAUCUCAGACUAAGAACUCCUGCUUUCUGUACUUGUGGAAAAUGACUUUAGAAAAUCAUGCACUGGUUCUGGGCUCACUUUCUUACCUCAAUACCAGUAUCAUUCAGCUACAAUGAGUUCCAGGUGAUGUAAAAAUCUCAGCCCCAUUGUGAUGAUGUGACAAAGGCCAGACCGUGACAAUGUGAAAUUAGUUUGCCUCCAGGUCCUUGGAGGGUUGAGCAGGUACAGCCACCACGACCAGGCCCAAACCCUGUGUCAUUUACCAG